rnacentral:rRNA from 1 species
UACAGGCUUAACACAUGCAAGUCGAGGGGCAGCAUGGUCUUAGCUUGCUAAGGCCGAUGGCGACCGGCGCACGGGUGAGUAACACGUAUCCAACCUGCCGUCUACUCUUGGACAGCCUUCUGAAAGGAAGAUUAAUACAAGAUGGCAUCAUGAGUCCGCAUGUUCACAUGAUUAAAGGUAUUCCGGUAGACGAUGGGGAUGCGUUCCAUUAGAUAGUAGGCGGGGUAACGGCCCACCUAGUCUUCGAUGGAUAGGGGUUCUGAGAGGAAGGUCCCCCACAUUGGAACUGAGACACGGUCCAAACUCCUACGGGAGGCAGCAGUGAGGAAUAUUGGUCAAUGGGCGAGAGCCUGAACCAGCCAAGUAGCGUGAAGGAUGACUGCCCUAUGGGUUGUAAACUUCUUUUAUAAAGGAAUAAAGUCGGGUAUGGAUACCCGUUUGCAUGUACUUUAUGAAUAAGGAUCGGCUAACUCCGUGCCAGCAGCCGCGGUAAUACGGAGGAUCCGAGCGUUAUCCGGAUUUAUUGGGUUUAAAGGGAGCGUAGAUGGAUGUUUAAGUCAGUUGUGAAAGUUUGCGGCUCAACCGUAAAAUUGCAGUUGAUACUGGAUAUCUUGAGUGCAGUUGAGGCAGGCGGAAUUCGUGGUGUAGCGGUGAAAUGCUUAGAUAUCACGAAGAACUCCGAUUGCGAAGGCAGCCUGCUAAGCUGCAACUGACAUUGAGGCUCGAAAGUGUGGAUAUCAAACAGGAUUAGAUACCCUGGUAGUCCACACGGUAAACGAUGAAUACUCGCUGUUUGCGAUAUACUGCAAGCGGCCAAGCGAAAGCGUUAAGUAUUCCACCUGGGGAGUACGCCGGCAACGGUGAAACUCAAAGGAAUUGACGGGGGCCCGCACAAGCGGAGGAACAUGUGGUUUAAUUCGAUGAUACGCGAGGAACCUUACCCGGGCUUAAAUUGCAGAUGAAUUACGGUGAAAGCCGUAAGCCGCAAGGCAUCUGUGAAGGUGCUGCAUGGUUGUCGUCAGCUCGUGCCGUGAGGUGUCGGCUUAAGUGCCAUAACGAGCGCAACCCUUGUUGUCAGUUACUAACAGGUUCCGCUGAGGACUCUGACAAGACUGCCAUCGUAGGAUGUGAGGAAGGUGGGGAUGACGUCAAAUCAGCACGGCCCUUACGUCCGGGGCUACACACGUGUUACAAUGGGGGGUACAGAGGGCCGCUACCACGCGAGUGGAUGCCAAUCCCCAAAACCUCUCUCAGUUCGGACUGGAGUCUGCAACCCGACUCCACGAAGCUGGAUUCGCUAGUAACCGCGCAUCAGCCACGGCGCGGUGAAUACGUUCCCGGGCCUUGUACACACCGCCCGUCAAGCCAUGGGAGCCGGGGGUACCUGAAGUGCGUAACCGCGAGGAGCGCCCUAGGGUAAAACUGGUGACUGGGGCUAAGUAA